rnacentral:tRNA from 1 species
GGCUUCGUGGUGCAGUGGCCAGCACGCUAGGUGCAUAUUCGAGAGGUCCAUGGUUCGAAUCCCGGCGAAGGCA